CAGCCCUGGCGGCCAUGUUGCAUGUUACCGGUAUCGCUGAAGAACUGGACUCAUCCCAGCCGUGCAGUAACCGUCCCUUCCACCAAGACUCAGAUGAUUAAUGUCUGGCAUUGAAAAGUGUCCAUGGAGAGGAGACUUUCGGCUAGGAGCUGCACACCUCAACUUCUCGAGGUCAAGCCCCCAUUCUUGUUCACUUCUUGACUCAAGCGGAUUUCCUUUAGAAGCCAAGCAAUGUGUAAUUUGACAGUGUUUAUGUUUAAAGAGUAGCUUGCUGUGGUCCUAGGGAGGUGUGCCAUCUGUAUGUCCAUUCAAGAAAGAAGCUGCGGUGAAGCUGGAGGCGAGUGAGCUGGCAGCCUCCUCCUCGGGGACUUCGGGAUCCUUGGUGGUGUCAUAGCAGAGGCCAGCUCUGUUGGGGCAGCUCAAGACCGGGAUGGAGCACAGCCAUGGCUGGACUGGCCGCUUCUCCCCAGGGCAGGACCCGUGGGAAGGCUGGCCAAGGCUCUCCCUGCUUGGGCAUCCUCUCUGGCCUCGGGUCUGAAGGCCCCCUCUGCCGCCGCUGCCUGCCGCUCUCCUCCUCUCACAGGUGCACCCAUGGCGGGCGUCUUGCACGUCCACCUCUGCCAUGGUGCAGGCUUCCCAGAACCCCUGAAGUCACAUCCUUGCUGACCUCUUGUCUGUGUGUGGUCUGAUGAAGAGUAUGGAACCCAGGGCAGGUAUUUCACACCAAGAUGGACAGAUGUGGGCUGGAGCAGUACUGUCAAGUGUUAAUGGCGAAUCUAGGUGGUGGAGCUAGAGACACUCACUUUCAGCCUCUCUGUUUGAAAAUUUUCAUAAUCAAAUAUUGUUUAAAACAAACAAACAAACAAACAAACAAAGCCAAACCGUUUUCAUUGAUGGGGAGAAGCAGGUUGAUUCUGGAAUAACCUUUCCACCAGGGGCAGGGUUUACAACUCUUUCUCCUUGCUGGGAAAAAAGGAGGAGCAGCUAACUGCUCAGAUUCACAGCAUUUGCAGUGUGUGUGUAUGUGUGUGUGUGUGUGUGUGUGUUUCUGUCUUGAACCUUGGUGCAGCCAGAGGUUGCGUGCUGGUGGCUCAAAUGCAGCUUCUGUCCGCAAGUUGCUUGUACGUCUCACACAUUGUUUUGCGACUUUGGAGUUAGUUACCCACAUUUAAAAAUCUGAAAAUUUCACAUAAGAAUUCACAUGUCUGGCUUUUCUUUGAAAACAGAAGAUCUGGCAAUGCUGGGCCUGCAUUUCUUCAUAGGGACAGCUGACCGCAGUUGAGUCAAUUGGGGCAUAUACCCUCCCUGGUUUGCCCCAGACUCCACCACUCCCUAAUGUGCAUGUUUCCUGUCUGGCCCCUGAAGACAUUUGAAUUUAGGACUCUGGAUUCAUUAGGAAACUUCUAUUUACAAUGAGCACGUUACAACUAUCCCUCUAAGGCCACAUUUCUUAAGCUGUCGGAAUCCACAAACCUUUUCCUUGGUGACUUGCCAUAUCCAUGUGUUUCUUGUAUUUACUUGAAAUUUGAAAAUGGACCCUUCAUAUACUUCCUAAGCAGUAAUAUCUUUGAGACCAAGAGUUUGUUGUGCUGGGUAGGAUUUUUCUAACGCAGAAUAAAGCAUGCUUGAGCCUA